GUGGUGGCACAAAAUCGGAAGCCCCGACUGUUUACUAAAAACACAGCUAUCUGCAACGAUGUAAAUCAUAGUAUAGGUAGUGAGGUUUGCCCGAUGCCAUUAAUAUAAGAGAAGUGAUGGGUAACUGUUAAUUAUCGAAAAUCUGGUUAAUAGCGGUCUUAACUAUGAGGAUCCUAAGGUAGCAAAAUAAAUUGGCCAUUAAAUGUGGUCCGGUAUCAAUAAUUUAACGAUGGCUUCACUGUCUCUACAAUUUGCUCAGUGAAAUUGAAUUACCC
rnacentral:rRNA from 1 species